rnacentral:rRNA from 1 species
UCUCCUGGAAACGGGUGGUAAUGCCGGAUGCUCCGACUCCUCGCAUGGGGUGUCGGGAAAGAUUUCAUCGGUAUGGGAUGGGGUCGCGUCCUAUCAGGUAGUCGGCGGGGUAACGGCCCACCGAGCCUACGACGGGUAGCCGGCCUGAGAGGGCGACCGGCCACAUUGGGACUGAGAUACGGCCCAGACUCCUACGGGAGGCAGCAGUGGGGAAUAUUGCACAAUGGGCGCAAGCCUGAUGCAGCGACGCCGCGUGCGGGAUGACGGCCUUCGGGUUGUAAACCGCUUUUGAUCGGGAGCAAGCCUUCGGGUGAGUGUACCUUUCGAAUAAGCACCGGCUAACUACGUGCCAGCAGCCGCGGUAAUACGUAGGGUGCAAGCGUUAUCCGGAAUUAUUGGGCGUAAAGGGCUCGUAGGCGGUUCGUCGCGUCCGGUGUGAAAGUCCAUCGCUUAACGGUGGAUCUGCGCCGGGUACGGGCGGGCUGGAGUGCGGUAGGGGAGACUGGAAUUCCCGGUGUAACGGUGGAAUGUGUAGAUAUCGGGAAGAAC